AUUGAACGCUGGCGGCAGGCCUAACACAUGCAAGUCGAGCGGAGCGGCGGACGGGUGAGUAAUGACUAGGAAGCUGCCUGGUAGUGGGGGAUAACGUCCGGAAAGGGGCGCUAAUACCGCACACUAUCAGUUGCGCCUAGGUGGGAUUAGCUAGCUGGUGGGGUAAAGGCCUACCAAGGCGACGAUCCGUAGCUGGUCUGAGAGGAUGAUCAGUCACACUGGAACUGAGACACGGUCCAGACUCCUACGGGAGGCAGCAGUGGGGAAUAUUGGACAAUGGGCGAAAGCCUGAUCCAGCCAUGCCGCGUGUGUGAAGAAGGUCUUCGGAUUGUAAAGCACUUUAAGUUGGGAGGCGUUACCAACAGAAUAAGCACCGGCUAACUUCGUGCCAGCCGCCGCGGUAAUUC
rnacentral:rRNA from 1 species